ACUCAAAGGAAUUGACGGGGGCCCGCACAAGCGGCGGAGCAUGCGGAUUAAUUCGAUGCAACGCGAAGAACCUUACCUGGGUUUGACAUGUACACCAAAGCCUCAGAGAUGGGGCCCCCUUCGGGGGUGUUCACAGGUGGUGCAUGGCUGUCGUCAGCUCGUGUCGUGAGAUGUUGGGUUAAGUCCCGCAACGAGCGCAACCCUCGUUCCAUGUUGCCAGCGGGUUAUGCCGGGGACUCAUGGGAGACUGCCGGGGUCAACUCGGAGGAAGGUGGGGAUGACGUCAAGUCAUCAUGCCCCUUAUGUCCAGGGCUUCACGCAUGCUACAAUGGCCGGUACAAUGGGCUGCGAUACCGUAAGGUGGAGCGAAUCCCAAAAAGCCGGUCUCAGUUCGGAUCGGGGUCUGCAACUCGACCCCGUGAAGUCGGAGUCGCUAGUAAUCGCAGAUCAGCAACGCUGCGGUGAAUACGUUCCCGGGCCUUGCACACACCGCCCGU
rnacentral:rRNA from 1 species